rnacentral:rRNA from 1 species
UACAGAGGCCUCGAGCGUUAGGCGGAAUCACUGGGCUUAAAGCGUGUGUAGGCGGAUUGCUAAGUACCUUGUGAAAUCCCACGGCUUAACCAUGGAACUGCUUGGUAUACUGGCUGUCUUGAGCCACUUAGGGGCGACCGGAACAAACGGUGGAGCGGUGAAAUGCGUAGAUAUCGUUUGGAACGCCAAAGGUGAAAACAGGUCGCUGGGAGUGUGCUGACGCUGAGAUACGAAAGCCAGGGGAGCAAACGGG